rnacentral:rRNA from 1 species
UACAGAGGUGGCAAGCGUUGUUCGGAAUUACUGGGCGUAAAGGGCGCGUAGGCGGUUCGUUAAGUCCUGUGUGAAAUCCCCCGGCUCAACUGGGGAACUGCACAGGAAACUAGCGGGCUUGAGUUCGGGAGAGGGAAGCGGAAUUCCGGGUGUAGCGGUGAAAUGCGUAGAUAUCCGGAGGAACACCGGUGGCGAAGGCGGCUUCCUGGACCGACACUGACGCUGAGGCGCGAAAGCUAGGGGAUCAAACAGG